GGGCGCUAUGGGGCUCUAUGGGUUGCUAUGGGGCUCUAUGGGGCGCUAUGGGGCGCCGCCCCACUGAUCCCCACCCCACAGAUGGAUACGAGAACGAACCCGGAGCGCCUGCGUCACGGAGCUCUGCUGGGAGCUACGAGAACGACCCCAAUUCCAGCCCAGCCUCAGCCUCCACCCCAAAUCCCAGCGAACCCACAGCGCUGAGCCCUGGAGCAGCAAAACUCAUCACAGGUAACGGCCCUAUAG